rnacentral:tRNA from 1 species
GCCAAAUUGGCAGAAAAUGCAUGUAGUUUAGGAUUACAAGAGGGUAUUGGUU